AACGAACGCUGGCGGCGCGCCUAAUACAUGCAAGUCGAACGAGAAGGUGUAGCAAUACACUUGUACAGUGGCGAACGGGUGAGGAAUGCAUGGGCAACCUACCCUCGAGUGGGGAACAACCAGCCGAAAGGUUGGCUAAUACCGCGUACGCUUCCGGGUCUCCGGAUCCGGAAGGAAAGUCACACCGUGGGUGUGACGCUCAAGGAUGGGCUCAUGUCCUAUCAGCUUGUGGUGAGGUAACGGCUCACCAAGGCAACGACGGGUAGCUGGUCUGAGAGGACGAUCAGCCACACUGGCACUGCGACACGGGCCAGACUCCUACGGGAGCAGCAGUAAGGAAUAUUGCGCAAUGGGCGAAAGCCUGACGCAGCGACGCCGCGGUGGGGGAUGAAGGUC
rnacentral:rRNA from 1 species